ensembl:lncRNA
CUUGUUAGGUAACUCUGACCACGCCCAUGUGGGUGUGGUCAUUGGUACCUGUGACCUGCGGAAAGUGGACUUAGUCAUUCCUACCUCUAAUCCUAGUCUCUCCUUAAAAUUCCCCUUUUGGUCUAAGUAGGAUUUAAAUUUAACAGUGGAAGUUAUCUAUAAUUACCAAUCAUAAAGUUAAAUUACAUGAAAAAAAAUCUUUUUUUUUUUUGUUUUUUUUGAGAUAUGGUUAACAAUCCCUUAAAUGCUACCCCAUCAGAUAAGCCAGGUGAAGGAGAGCCCUGUGCCUGCCUCAUUCUUCCUGAAUACCUUGUUAGGUAACUCUGGCCACGCCCAUGUGGGUGUGGUCAUAGGUACCUGUGACUUUCGGAAAGUGGAUUUAGGCAGUAUAACUCUAAUCCUGGUCGCUACUCAAAAUUCCACUUUUGGUCUAAGUAGGAUUUAAAUUUAUCAGUGGAAGUUAUCAAUAAUUACCAAUCAUAAAGUUAAUUUACACGAAAAAAAAUAAUCUUUUUUUUUUGAGAUAUGGUUAAUAAUCCCUUAAAUGCUUCCAGAUCAGAUCAGCGAGGUGAACGAGAGCCCUGUGCAUGCCUUCCUUCCUGAACCCUUGUUAGGUAACACUGACAUUGCCCAUGUGGGUGUGGUCAUUGGUACCUGUGACCUUCGGUAAGUAGACUUAGUCAGUUCUACCUCUAAUCCUAGUCUCUCCUUAAAAUUCCCCUUUUGGUAUAGAGUAGGAUUUAAAUUUAACAGUGGAAGUUAUCUAUAAUUACCAAUCAGAAAGUUAAAUUACAUGAAAAAAAAAUAAUGCUUUUUUUGGGUUUUUUGAGUUACGGUUAAUAAUCCCUUAUAUGCUUCCCCCAUCAUCUCAGCCAGGUGAACGAGAGCCCUGUGCAUGACUUUUUCUUCCUGACACCCUUGUUAGGUAACUCUGACCACGUCCAUGUGGGUAUGGUCAUUGGUACCUGUUAACUUUGAAAAGUGGAGUUAGUCAGUCGUACCUCUAAUCCUGGUCUCUCCUUAUAAUUCCCCUUUUGGUCUAAAUGGGAUUUAUAUUGAACAGUGGAAGUCGUCUAUAAUUAACAAUCAUAAAGUUAAAUUACUUGAAAAAAAAAAUUUUUUUUUCAGUUUUUUGAGACAUGGUUAAUAAUCCCUUAAAUGCUUCCAUAUCAGAUCAGCCAGGUGAACUAGAGCCUUGUGCAUGCCUUUCUUCCUGAAACCCUUGUUAGGUAACUCUGACCACGCCCAUGUGGGUGUGGUCAUUAGUACCUGUGACCUUCAGAAAGUGGACUUAGUCAAUCCUACCUCUAAUCCUGGUCUCUCCUUAAAAUUCCCCUUUUGGUAUAAACACGACAUAAAUUUAACAGUGGAAAUUAUCUAUAAUUACCAAUCAUAAAGUUAAAUUACAUGAAAAAAAAACUUUUUUUUUUUUGUUUUUUUUGACAUAUGGUUAACAAUCCCUUAAAUGCUUCCCCCAGAUAAGCCAGGCGAAGGAGAGCCCUGUUCGUGCCUCAUUCUUCCUGAAUCCCUUGUUAGGUAAGUCUGACCACGCCCAUGUGGGUGUGGUCAUUGGUACCUGUGACCUUCGGAAAGUGGAUUUAGGCAGUAUAACUCUAAUCCUGGUCGCUACUCAAAAUACCCCUUUUGGUCUAAGUAGGAUUUAAAUUUAUCAGUGGAAGUUAUCUAUAAUUACCAAUCAUAAAGUUAAAUUACAUGAAAAAAAAAUUUUUUUUUUGUUUUUUUUGAGAUAUGGUUAACAAUCCCUUAAAUGCUUCCCCAUCAGAUUAACCAGGUGAAGGAGAGCCCUGUGCAUGCCUCAUUCUUCCUGAAUCCCUUGUUAGGUUACUCUGGCCACGCCCAUGUGGGUGUGGUCAUUGGGACCUGUGACCUUCGGAAAGUGGAUUUAGGCAGUAUAACUCUAAUCCUGGUCGCUACUCAAAAUACCCCUUUUGCUCUAAGUAGGAUUUAAAUUUAACAGUGGAUGUUAUCUAUAAUUACCAAUCAUAAAGUUAAAUUACAUGAAAAAAAAUUUUUUUUUGUUUUUUUUGAGACAUCUUUAAUAAAACCUUAAAUGCUUCCCCAUCAGAUCAGCCAGGUGAAUCAUAGCCGUCUGCAUGCCUCUUUUUCCUGAAACCCUUGUUAGGUACUCUGACCACACCCAUGUGGGUGUGAUCAUUGUUACCUGUGACCUGCGGAAAUUGGACUUAGUCAUUGCUACCUCUAAUCCUGGUCUCUCCUUAAAAUUCCCCUUUUGGUGUAAAUGGGAUUUAAAUUUAUCAGUGGAAGUCGUCUAUAAUUACCAAUCAUAAAGUAAAAUUACAUGAAAAAAUAAUAUUGUUUUUUGUUUCUUUUGUGACAUGGUUACAAAAUGAUUCCCCAUCAGAUCUGCCAGGUGAACUAGAGCCUUGUGCAUGCCUCUUUCUUCCUGUAACCCUUGUUAGGUAAUUGACCACGCCCAUGUGGGUGUGGUCAUUGGUACAGGUGACCAUCUGAAAGUGGACUUAGCCAGUAGUAACUCUCAUCCUGGUCGCUACUCAAAAUUUCCCUUUUCGUCUAUGUAGGAUUUAAUUUUAACAGUGGAAAUUAUCUAUAAUUACCAAUCAUACAGUUAAAUUACAUGAAAAAAAAUCUUCUUUUUUUUGUUUUUUUUUGAGACAAGGUUAAUAAUCCCCUAAAUGCUUCCCCAUCCGAUCAGCAAGGUGAAGUAGAGCGGUGUGCAUGCCUCUUUCUUCCUGAAUCCCUUGUAACUCUGACCACGGUCAUGUGGGUGUGGUCAAUGUUACCUGUGACCUUCCGGAAGUGGACUUAGUCGUACCUCUAACCCUGGUCUCUACUUAAAAUUCCCCUUUCGGUAUAAAGAGUAUUUAAAUUUAAAUAUGGAAGUUACCUAUAAUUACCAAUCAUAAAAUUACAUGAAAAAAAAUUUUUUUUUGAGUCAUCUUUAAUAAAACCUUAAAUGCUUCCCCAUCAGAUAAGCCAGGUGAAGGAGAGCCCUGUGCCUGCCUCUUUCUUCCUGAAACCCUUGUUAGGUAACUCUGACCAUGCCCAUGUGGGUGUGGUCAUUGGUAUCUGUGACCUUCGGAAAGUGGACUUAGUCAGUCCCUCCUCUAAUCCUGGUCUCUCCUUAAAAUUCCCCUUUUGGUCUAAGUAGGAUUUAAAUUUAACAGUGGAAGUUAUCUAUAAUUACCAAUCAUAAAGGUAAAUUACAUGACCAAAAAUAAUGUUUGUUUUUUUUUUUUUUUUUUUUUUUUAGACAUCAUUAAUAAUCCCUUAAAUCCUUCCCCAUCAGGUCCGCCAGGUGAAAGAGAGCCUUGUGCACGACUCUUUCUUCCUAAAACGCUUGUUAGGUAACUCUGACCACGCCCUUGUGGGUGUGGUCAUUUUUACCUGUGACCUGCGGAAAGUGGACUUAGUGGUACCUCUAAUGUUGCUUUCUCCGUAAAAUUCCCCUUUUGAUCUAAAGAGGAUUUAUAUUCAACAGUGUAACAUAUCUUUAGUUACCAAACAAAAAGGUGAAUUACAUAAAGAUAUAAUCUCUUUUUUUCCUUUUUUUUGAGACAUGGUUAAUAAUCGCCUAAAUGCUUCCCAGUUAGCUCAGCUAGGUGAAAGAGAGCCUUGUGUUUCCUCUUUCUUCAUAAAACCCUUAUUAGGUAACUCUGACCACGCCCAUUUCGGUGUGGUUAUUGUUAACUGUGACCUUGGGAAAGUAGACUUAGUGGUACCUCUAAUCGUGCUUUCUUCUUAGGAUUCCCAUUUUGACCUAAAGAGGAUUUAAAUUAAACAGUGUAACGUAUCUAUAAUUACCAGUCUUAAAGGUGAAUUACAUAAAGAUAUAAUUUUUUUUUUUUUGGCUUUUUGGAGUCAGGGUUAAUAAUCCCUUAAAUGAUUCCCAGUCAGCUCAGCCAGGUGAUGUAGAGCCUUGUGCAUGCCUCAUUCUUCCUAAAAUCCUUGUAAGGUAACUCUGACCACGCUCAUGUGGGUGUGGUCAUUGGUACCUCGGAGCUUGGGAAUGUGGACUUAGUCAGUGGUACCUCUAAUCCUGGUCUCUCCUUAAAAUUCCCCUUUUGGUCUCAAGUGGAUUUAAAGUUCACAGUGUAACAUAUCUAUAGUUACCAAAUAAAAAGUUGAAUUACAAAAAGAUAUAAUCUUUUUUUUUGUUUUGAGACAUGGUUAAUAAGCCCUUUAAUGCUUCCCAGUCAGCUAAGCCAGGUCAAAGAGAGCCUUGUGCAUGCCUGUUUCUUGCUAAAACCCUUGUUAGGUAACUCUGACCCGGCCAAAGUGGGUGUGGUCUUUGAUAACUGUGACUUUCUGAAAGUGGACUUAGUGGUACCUGUAAUCCUGGUUACUCCUUAAAAUUCACCUUUUGAUCUAAAGAGGACUUAAAUUGAACAGUUUAGUUCUAAACAUAACUAAACAUAAACAUAGUUCUAAACAUAACAUAGUUACUAAACAUAAAGGUGAUUUAUAUAAAGAUAUAGUCUUUUUUUUGUUUUUUUUGAGAGAUGGUUAAUAAUCCCUUAAAUGCUUCCCAGUCAGCUCAGCCAGGUGAAAGAGAGCCUUGUGCAUGCCUCAUUCUUCCUAAAACCCUUGUAAGGUAACUCUGACCAAGCUCAUGUGGGUGUGGUCAUUGGUGCCUGUGAGCUUGGGAAUGUGGACUUAAGUCAGUGAUACUCUAAUCCUGGUCUCUCCUUAAAAUUCCCCUUUUGGUCUAAAGAGGAUUGAAAUUUAACAGUGGAAGUUAUCUAUAAUUACCAAUCAUAAAGUUAAAUUACAUGAAAAAAGAAAUCUACAUUUUUUUCGUUGAGUUUUUGGGACAGAGUUAAUAGUUUUCUCAAAUCACUUCCUAACUCUACAUAUUCAAUCUAUACCCUAAGUCAGCUGAAAGGGAUGUCCCAAUCUGAAAAACUCCUUCCAAAACUAACCUUAAACAAUAGGAAACUGUUCUAGAGCCUUCAUCCAUUAGCUGCUGGAAGCAAAAAUGAAUGCCCUUCCCUUAUAAUGAGUUUGAUAUUUUAUUAUAGAUGACUAGAAGUAGAGUAGGAAAUAGAUUGAUAACCACUAGUUUAUUUGGGAAAAAUAUUCAAGCCAGGGUGCUAUUCACCGGGUUUGCACAUGAGCUGAAGGACUCAUAAAUGCUUCCCAGUCAGCUCAGCCAGGUGAAAGAGAGCCUUAUGCAUGCCUGUUUCUUCCUGAAACCCUUGUCAGGUAACUCUGACCACGCCCAUGUGGGUGUGGACAUUGUUACCUGUGACCUUCCGAAAGUGGACUUAGUGGUACCUCUAAUGGUGGUUUCUCCUUAAAAUUCCCAUUUUGAGCUAAAGAGGAUUUAAAUUGAAGAGUGUAACAUAUCUAUAGUUACCAAACAAAAAGGUGAAUUACAUAAAGAUAUAAUCUUUUUUUUUUGAUUUUUUUGAGACAUGGUUAAUAAUCCCUUAAAUGCUUCCCAGUCAGCUCAGCCAGGUGAAAAAGAGCCUUGUGCAUGCCUCUUUCUUCCUGAAAUCCUUGUAAGGUAACUCUGACCAUGCCCAUCAGGGUGUGGUCAUUGGUACCUCGGAGCUUGGGAAUGUGGACUUAGUCAGUGGUACCUCUAAUCCUGGUCUCUCCUUAAAAUUCUCCCUUUGCUCUAAAGAGGAUUUAAACUUAGAAGUGUAAGUUAUCUAUAAUUACCAAUCCUAAAGGUAAAUUACAUGAAAAAAAAUCUUUUUUUUUCGUUGGUUUUUUGCAACAGGGUUAAUAACUUCACAAAUCACUUCCUAACUCUAUAUAUUCAAUCUAUACCCUAAGUCAGCUGAAAGAGAUGUCCCAAUUUGAAAAACUACUUCCAAAACUAACCCUAAACAAUAGGAAACUGUUCUGGAGCCUUCAUCCACAAUCUUCUGGAAGUAAAAGUGAAUGCCCUUCCCUUAUAAUGAGAUUGAUGUUUUAUUAUAGAUGAAUAGAAAGUGUAGUCAGAAAUAGAUUGAUAACCACUAGUUUAUUUGGAAAAUAUUCAACACAGGGCGCUAUUCACCUGCUUUGCACUGUAACAGGAAGGACCCAUAAAUGCUACUCAGUCAGCUCAGCCAGGUGAAAGAGAGCUUUGUGCAUGCCUCUUUCUUGCUGAAACCCUUGUCAGGUAACUCUGACCACGCCCAUCUGGGUGUGGUCAUUGUUAUCUGUGACCUCCGAAAGUGGACUUAGUGGUACCUCUAAUCCUGGUUUCUCCUUAAAAUUGCCCUUUUGAUCUAAAGAGGAUUUAAAUUCAACAGUGUAACAUAUCUAUAGUUACCAAACAAAAAGGUGAAUUACAUAAAGAUAUAAUCUUUUUUUUUUUUUUUGGUUUUUUUGAGACAUGAUUAAUAAUCCCUUAAAUGCUUCCCAGUCAGCUCAGCCAGGUGAAAAAGAGCCUUGUGCAUGCCUCUUUCUUCCUAAAACCCGUGUUAGGAAACUCUGACCACGCCCAUGUAGGUGUGGUCAUUGAUUAAUGUGACUUUCUGAAAGUGGACUUAGUGGUACCUCUAAUCCUGGUUUCUCCUUAAAAUUGCCCUUUUGAUCUAAAGAGGAUUUAAAUUCAACAGUGUAACAUAUCUAUAGUUAACAAACAAAAAGGUGAAUUACAUAAAGAUAUAAUUUUUUUUGGUUUUUUUUGAGACAUAGUUAAUAAUCCCUUAAAUGAUUCCUAGUCAGCUCAGCCAGGUGAAAUAUUGCCUUGUGCAUACCUCUUUCUUCCUGAAAUCCUUGUAAGGUAACUCUGACCACGCCCAUCAGGGUGUGGUCAUUGGUACCUGUCACCUUGGGAAAGUGGAGUUAGUCAGUGGUAUGUCUAAUCCUGGUCUCUCCUUAAAAUUCCCCUUUUGGUCUAAGGAGGAUUUAAACUUAACAGUGUAAGUUAUCAAUAAUUACCAAUCAUAAAGGUAAAAUAUAUGAAGAUAAAAUAAUCUUUUUUUUCAUUGGUUUUUUGAUACAGUGUUAAUAAUCUUCUCAAAUCACUUCCUAACUCUAUAUAUUCAAUCUAUAUGCUAAAGUCAGCUGAAAUAGAUGUCCCAAAUGAACAACUACUUCCAAAUCCAACCCUAAACAAUAGGAAACUAUUCUAGAGCCUUCAUCCAGUAACUGCUGGAAGCAAAAGUGAAUGCCCUUCCCUUAUAUUGAGAUUGAUAUUUUAUUAUAGAUGACUAGAAGUGGAGUCAGAAAUAGAUUGAUAACCAUUAGUUUAUUUGGGAAAAAUAUUCAAGCCAGUGUGCUACUCAACAGGUUUGCACCUGAGUAGGAAGGACCCAUAAAUGCUACUCAGUCAGCACAGCCAGGUGAAAUAGAUUUUGUGCAUGCCUUUUUCUUCCUGAAACCCUUGUUAGGUAUCUCUGACCACGCCCAUGUGGGUGUGGUCAUUGUUACCUGUGACCUUCGGAAUGUGGACUUAGUGGUACCUCUAAUGGUGGUUUCUCCUUAAAAUUCCCCUUUUUAUCUAAAGAGGAUUUACAUUUAAUAGUGUAACAAAUCUAUAAUUACCAAACAUAAAGGUGAAAUACAUAAAGAUAUAAUCUUCUGUUUUUGUUUUUUUGAGUUAGGGUUAAUAAUCUCUAAAUGCUUCUGAGUCAGCUCAGCCAGGUGAAAUAGAGCCUUGUGCAUGCCUCUUUCUUCCUGAAACCCUUGUAAGGUAACUCUGACCACGCUUGUGUGUGUGGUCAUUUGGACCUGUGAGCAUGAGAAUGUGAACUUAGUUAGUGGUACCUCUAAUCCUGGUCUCUCCUUAAUAUUCACCUUUUGGUCUAAAGAGGAUUUAAAUUUUACAGUGGAAGUUAUUUAUAAUUACCUAUCAUAAAUGUAAAUUACAUGAAAAAAAUAAUCUUUUUUUUCGUUGGUUUUUUAAGACUGGGUUAAUAAUCUUCUCAAAUCACUUCUUAACUCUAUAUAUUCAAUCUAUACGCUAAAGUCAGCUGAAAGAGAUGUCCCAAUCUGAAAACCUCCUUCCAAAACUUACCCUAAACAAUAGGAAACUGUUCUAGUGCCUUCACCCAGUAGCUGAUGCUAGCAGAAGCAAAUGCCCUUCUCUUAUAAUGAGAUUGAUGUGUUAUUAUAGAUGAUUAGAAAAUGGAGUCAGAAAUAGAUUGAUAACCACUCGUGUUUUCUGGAAAACUAUUCAAGUCAGGGUGUUAUUCACCUGGUUUGCACUUGUGCAGGAAGGACCCAUAAAGGCUUCCCAGUCAUCUCAGCUAGGUGAAAGACAGGUUAGUGCAUGACUCUUUCCUCCCUAAACCCUUGUUAGGUAACUGAGAACAGGGCCAUGUGGGUGUGGUCAUUAUUACCUGUGACCUUGCUAAGUGGACUUAGUCAGUGGUACCUCUAUUCAUGGAUUCUCUUUGCAAUUCCUCUUUUGGUCUAAAGAGGAGUUAAAUUUAACAGUAUAAGUUAUCUAUAAUUACCAAUAAUAAAGGUGAAUUACAAUAAGAUAUAAUAAUCUUCUUAAAUCACUACCUAAAUCUAUAUAUUCCAUCUAUGCCCUAAAGUCAUCUGAAAGACAUAUCCAAGUCUGAACAACUGGUACCAAAUCCAACCCUAAACAAUAGGAAACUAUUCUAGUCCUUUUUCGAGUAGCUGUUGGAAGAAGUGAGUGAGCUUCCCCUGUAAUGAGAUUGAUGACUAUCUCAUAUACCAUUCUAGAGCCUUCAUCAGUAGCUGCUGGAAGCAGAAGUGAAUGCUCUUCCCUUAUACUGACACUGAUGAGUUAUUAUAGAUGAUUACAAAGUGGAGUCAGAAUUAGAUUGAUAACCAGUAAUUUAUUGGGGAAUAUACUCAUGCUAUGUAGCUAAUCACCAGGUUUGCACCUGAGCAGGAAGGACCCAAAAAUGCUUCCAGUCUGCUCAGCCUGGUGAAACAUAGCCUAGUGCAUGCCUCCUUCCUUCUUAAAGCAUUGUUAGGUAAGUCUGACCAUAUGGGCAUGGUCAGCGGUACCUUUGACCUUGUCCAGGUGGACUUAAUCAGUGGUACCUCCUAUCAUGGUUUCUCCCUACAAUUCACUUGUCAUUCCAUAGGGGAAUUAAACUUUACUGUGUAAGUUAUCUAUAAUACCAAUCAUAAAGGUAAAUUACAAGAAGAUAUAAUAAUCCUCUUAAAUCACUUACUAACUCUAUAUUUUCCAUCUAUAGACUAAAGUAACCUGAAAGAGAUGUCCAAGUCUGAACAACUCCUUUCAAAUCCAACCCUAAACAAUAGGAAACUAUUCUAGACCCUUCAUCCAGUAGCUGCUGGAAGCAGAAGUGAAUGCCUUUCCCUUAUAAUGAGAUUGAUGUGUUAUUUUAGAUGAUUAGAAAAAGGAGUCAGAAAUAGAUUGAUAACCACUAGUUUAUUUGGGAAAAAUAUCCAAGCAAGGGUACUAUUCACCUGUUUUGCACCUGAGCAGGAAGGACCCAUAAAUGCUUCUCAGUCAGCUCAGCCAGGUGAAAGAGAGCCUAGGCUAUGCCUCUUUCCUCCUUAAUCCCUUGUUAGGUAUAUCUGUCCACGCCCAUAUGGGUGUGGUCCUUGGUACAGGUGACUUUGGGCAAGUGGACUUAGUCAGCAGUAUGUUUAAUCAUGGUUUCUCCUUACAAUUCCCCUUUUGGUCUAGAGAGGAUUCAAACUUAACAGUGUAAGUUAUCUAUAAUUACCAAUCAUAAAGGUGAAUUACAUGAAGAUAUAAUAAUCUUCUUUUUUUUGGUUUUUUGAGACAGGGUUAAUAAUCUUCUUAAAUCACUUCCUAACUCUAUGUAUUCCAUCUAUACCCUAAAGGCAUCUGAAUGCGAUGUCCAAGUCUGAAUAACUCCUUCCAAAUCCAAUAGUGAACUAUCCUGGAGCCUUCUUCGAGUAGCUGCUGGAAGAAGUGAGUGAGCUUUCCCUAUAACGAGAUUGAUGCCUAUUUCAUAUGCCAUCCUAGAGCCUUCAUCCAGUAGCUGCUUGAAGCAGAAGUGAAUGCCUGUCCUUUAUACUGACACUGAUGAGUUAUUAUAGAUGAUUACAAAGUGGAGUCAGAAAUAGAUUGAUAACCACUAGUUUUUUGGGGAAUAUACUCAUGCUAUGUAGUUAAUCACCAGGUUUGAACCUGAGCAGCAAGGACCCAGCAAUGCUUCCAAUCAGCUCAGCCAGGUGAAUGAUAGCCUAGUGCAUGCCUCCUUCCUUUUUAAAGCAUUGUUAGGUAAGUCUGACCAUGCCCAUAUGGGUGUGUUCAUUGGUACCUCUGACUUUGGGCAAGUGGACUUUGUCAGCAGUAUCUCUAAUCAUGUUUUCUCCUUACAGUUCUCCUCUUGGUCUAAAGAGGAUUUAAAGUUAACAGUGUAAGUUAUUUAUAAUUACCAAUCAUAAAGGUGAAUUACAAGAAGAUAUAAUAAUCUUCUUAAAUCAUAUCCUAAUUCUAUAUAUUCUAUCUAUACACUAAAGUCAUUUGAAAGAGAUGUCCAAGUCUGAACAACUUCUUCCAAAUCAACCCUAACCAAUAGGAAACUCUUCUAGACCCUUCACCCAGUAGCUGCUGGAAGCAGAAGUGAAUGCCCCUCCCUUAUAAUGAGAUUGAUAUGUUAUUAUAGAUGAUUAGAAAAUUAGAAAGUGGAGUCAGAAAUAGAUUGAUAACCACUAGUUUAUUUGGGAAAAAUAUUCAAGCCAGGGUGCUAUUCACCUGCUUUGCACCAGAGCAGGAAGGGCCCAUAAAUGCUUCCCAGUCAGCUCAGCCAGGUGAAAGAGUGCUGAGUGCAUGCCUCUUUCCUCCUUUUACCCUUGUUUGGUGACUCUGACCAUGCCCAUGUGGGUGUGGUCUUUGGUACCUGUGACCUUGCCCAAGUGGACUUAGUCUAUGGUAUCUCUAAUCAGGGUUUUUCCCUACAAUUCCCCUUUUGGUCUAAAGCGUAUUUAAACUUAACAGUAGAAGUUAUCUAUAAUUAACAAUCAUAACGUUGAAAUACAUGAAGUUAUAAUAAUCUUCUAAGAUCAUAUCCUAACUCUAUGUGUUCCGUCUAUACCCUAAAGUCAUCUGAACGAAAUAAAUGUCCAACUCUGAGCUCCUCCUUCCAAAUCCAACCCUAAACAAUAAACUAUCCUAUUGCCUUCUUCCAGUAGCUGCUGGAAGAAGUGAGUGAGCUUCCCCUGUAAUGAGAUUGGUGACUAUCUUAUAUACCAUCCUAGAGCCUUCUAUGGUAGCUGCUGGAAGAAGUGAGUGAGUUUCCCCUGUAUUGAGAUUGAUGACUAUCUUAUAUGUCAUCCAGAUCCUUCAUCUAGUAGCUUCUGGAAGGAGAAGCUAAUGCCCUUCCUCUAUAAUGAGAUUGUUGGCUACCUUUUAUGCAAUCCUAGAGCCUUCUUCCAGUAGCUGCUGGAACAGGAAGUGAAUUCUCUUCCCUUACAAUGAGUUUGGUGACUUCCUUAUAUUCCAUACUAGAGUCUAUUUAGUACCUGCCAGAAACAAAAGGGAAUGCCCUUUCCCUAUAAUGGAAUUGAUGGCUACUUUAUAUGUCUUCCUCAUGCCUCCAUCCAGUUGCUACUAGAUGCAGAAGCAAAUGCCCUUUCCUUUAUAUUGAGAUUGAUGAAUUAUUAUAGAUGAUUAUAAAGUGUAAUCAGAAAUAGCUUGAUAACCAGUAAUUUAUUGGGAAAAAUACUCAUGAAAUGGAGCUAAUCACUGGUUCUAACUAAGAAGGAAGGACCCAGAAAUACUUCCAGUCAGUUCAGCCUGGUGAAAAAAGUUGUGGGCAUGCCUCCUUCCUCCUUUUUAAAAUGCAAACAUCAAGAGGUGUUAUUGCAAUUGUUUAAUGAGCUAACCCCAUGUUAGCUAGGGACCUUUUAUCCAUCCACCAUGGCGGAUGGCUAGGAAAGACACUGUGAAGCCAUGCAUAGAUAUUUUAUAGGGGAGCAUAAGGAGUGUGUUUAGGGGUAUGCACAGGCUCAGGAUUGGUGUACCUCCAGGCUUUGAAGGCUUGCCCUGUGUUGAUUGGUCAACUGGUUGUUAUGGCCCAUAGUCCCUCCCUGGGGGAUUUCUAUGCUCUGCAUGUCAUUGCUGUGUACUUGUCCGUAAAGUACACCCAGAGCCGUAAUGCAUAUCACCAGCAGCUAACUUCUGAUUGGUUCCUUGCCACGAGGCAGGCAUCUGACCUCCUAGUGGCAAGGUCAGGUAAGCACGUGCUAGGCUGUUAUGGCUCCCAAAAUGGGGAACUGGUCCCUUCAUUUCCCCAUUUUCUUUUUUUUUGGAGAUUCCAAUCAUGGAAUUGCUGUCUCUCCAGCUUCGCCAUCAGUGAGUGAGAGGUAUUGGCAUCCCCCAUGUAAGGGAGUUCCUUUUGACUUAGCAUUUCAACCAGGGAAAAUGGGCGACGUAUUCUUUCCCAUGCUACUUCCUGCUGACCUUGGGACGAAGUUAGGAACACAAGAAGGCUGAAAUGCUAGUCAAAAGCAAAACAUGGAAUUUAGGCAAAACCCUUGUCAAGUAAAUGCCCAUGCCAAGUGGGCGUGGUCAGUGGUAACUCUGAUCUCACUCAAGGGGCUGUGGUCAGUGGUGUUUCUAAUCAGGUUACUCUGUACAAUUCCCCUUUUGUCAAAGAGGAUUUAAACUAGACAGUGUAAGUUAUCUAUAAUUAACAAUUAUAAAGAUGAAUUACAGAAAGAUAGAUAUCACAUUCCAAUUCUAUCUGUUCUCUAACAUCAUCCUAAAGAGAUUUAUAAGCCUGAACACCUUCUAAAUGCAACCAUAAACAAUAGGAAACUAUCUAAGACCUUCAUCCAGUAGCUGCUUGAAGAAGAAUGGAAUGAACUUCCCCUAUACUGAGAAUGAUGAGUACCUUACAUGUGAUCCUAGAAUAGUCAUCCAGUAGUUGCUGCAAGCAGAAGCCAUAUCUCUUCCCCUGUAAUGGGAUUGAUCACUACCUUAUAUGCCAUCUGAGAGCCUUCAUCCAGUAGGUGGUGGAAGCAGAAGUGAAUGCCCUUCCCCUAUAAUGAGAUUGAUGAGUUAUUAUAGAUGAUCCCAAAGUGGAGUCAGAAAUAGAUUGAUAACCAGUAAUUUAUUGGGGAAAAAUACACAUGCCAUGGAGCUAAUCAGGAAGGACCCAGAAAUGCUUCCCAUCAGUUCAGCCAGGUGAAAAGAUAUGAGGGCAGGCCUCCUUCCUUCUUAAACCCUUGUCAAGUAGCUGACCACGCCCAAGUGGGUGUGGUCAGCCAUACCUCUGACCUUUCCCAAGGGGGUGUAGUCAGUGGUACCUCUAAUCAGGGUUUCUCUCCUCAGUUCCCCUUUUAGUGUAAAGAAGAUUUAAACUUAACAGUGUAAGUUAUCUAUAAUUAACAAUCAUAAAUGUGAAUUACAAGAAGAUAUAAUAAUCUACUUCUAUCACAUUCUAACUCUAUUUAUUCCAUCUAUACUCUAAAGUCACCUGAAAGAGAUGUCCCAAUCUGAACACCUCCUUCCAUAUCCAACCCUAGACAAUAGGAAACCACCCUCCAUCUUCUUCAUCCAGUAGCUGCUGGAAGAAAAAUCCUGUGACCUUCCUCUAUACUGACAAUGUGAUUACCUUUUUGCCAUCUUAGAGCUUUUAUCCAGUAGCUUCUGGAGGCAGAAGCGAAUGUCCUUGCCCUAUAAUAAGAUUGUUGACCAUCUUUUAUGACUUCCUAGAACCUUCAUCCUUAGCUGCUAGAAGCAAAAGGCAAUGCUUCUUCCCUAUAUUGGAAUGAUGGCUACGUUAUUUGCCAUUCUAGAGCCUUCAUCCAGCAGGUGUGGAAGGAGCAGCUAGUGCCCUUCCCCUACAAUGAGACUGAGCAAUACCUUAUAUGCCAUCCUAGAGCCUUCAUCCAGUAGCUGCUGGAUGCAGUUGCGAAUGACUUUCCCCUAUAAUGAUAUUUAUGAUUACCUUAUAUUCCAUCGUAGAGCCUUCAUCCAGUAGCUGCUGGAAGCAGAAGCGAAUGCCCUUACCCUACAAUGCGACUGAUCUCUACCUUAUAUGCCAUCAGAGAGUUUUCAUCCAGUGGCUGCUGGAAGAAGAAGCAAAUGCCCUUGCCCUAUAAUGAGAGUGAGGAGUUACUAUAGAUGAUUACAAAGUGGAGUCAGAAAUAGAUUGAUAACCAGUAGUUUAUUUGGGAAAAAUAUUCAUACCUGAGCAGGUUUGUACCUGACUUCGAAGCAGAAAUGCUUCAAAGUCAGCUCAGCCAGGUUAUAGGUAGCCCAGUGGGUGCUUCCUUCCUUCUUAAAUCCUUGUUAGGUAAGUCUGACCACGCCCAUGUGGGUGUGGUCAGCAGUACCUGCCACCUUGCCCAAGUGGACUUAUUCAGUGGUACCUCUAAUCAGGGUUUCUCCCUAAAAUUCCCUUUUUAGUCUAAAGGGAAAUUAAACUUAACAGUGUAAGUUAUCUAUAAUUAACAAUCAUAAAGGUGAAUUACAAGAAGGUAUAAUAAUUUUCUUAAAUCACACCCUAACUCUAUAUUUUCCAUUUAUACACUAAAGUAAUCUGAAAGAGAUGUCCAAGUCUGAACACCUCCUUCCAAAUCCAACUCUAAACAAUAGGAAAGUAUCCUAGAGCCUUCCAGAAGCUGCUGGAAGACGUGAGUGAGCUUCCCCUGUCAUGAUGACUAUCGUAUAUGCCAUCCUAGAGUCUUCAUCCAGUAGCUGCUGGAUGCAGAAUCAAAUGCCCUUUGCAAUAAUAGAAUCGAUGGCUACCUUAUACACUAUCCUCGAGCCUUCAUCCAGUAGCUGCUGGAAGGAGAAGCUAAUGCCCUUCCCCUGUAAUGAGAUUGAUCACUACCUCAUAUGCCAUCCUAGAGCCUUCAUUCAGUAACUGCUGGAAGAGGAGGUCAAUGCCCUUCCCUUUCAAUGAGAUUGGUGACUUCCUUAUAUUGCAUACUAGAGUCCAUUCAGUAGCUCACAGAAACAAAAGGGAAUGCCCUUUCCCUAUAAUUCAAUUGAUGGCUACUUCAUAUGCCAUCCUUGAGCCUUCGUCCAGUGGCUGCUAGAAGCAGAAGGGAAUGCCCUUCCCUUAUAAUGAGAUUGAUAAGUUACUAUAGAGGAUUACAAAGUGUAGUCAGAAAUAGAUUGAUAACCAGUAAUUUAUUGGGGAAAAAUACACAUGCCAGGGAACUAAUCACCAGGUUUGAACCAAUAAGGAAGAACCCAGAAAUGCUUCCCAUCAGCUCAGCCAGGUGAAAAGAUAUGAGGGCAGGCCUCCUUCCUUCUUAAACCCUUGUCAAGUAGCUGACCACGCCCAAGUGGGUGUGGUCAGCCAUACCUCUGACCUUUCCCAAGGGGGUGUAGUCAGUGGUACCUCUAUUCAGGGUUUCUCUCCUCAGUUCCCCUUUUAGUGUAAAGAAGAUUUAAACUUAACAGUGUAAGUUAUCUAUAAUUAACAAUCAUAAAUGUGAAUUACAAGAAGAUAUAAUAAUCUACUUCUAUCACAUUCUAACUCUAUUUAUUCCAUCUAUACUCUAAAGUCACCUGAAAGAGAUGUCCCAAUCUGAACACCUCCUUCCAUAUCCAACCCUAGACAAUAGGAAACCACCCUCCAUCUUCUUCAUCCAGUAGCUGCUGGAAGAAAAAUCCUGUGACCUUCCUCUAUAAAUGACAAUGAUGACAAUUUUGCCAUCAUAUAGCCUUUAUCCAGCAGCUUCUGGAGGCAGAAGCGAAUAUCCUUUCCCUAUAAUGAGAUUAUUGACUAUCAUUUAUGACUUCCUAGAACCUUCAUCCUUAGCUGCUAGAAGCAAAAGGCAAUGCUUCUUCCCUAUAUUGGAAUGAUGGCUACGUUAUUUGCCAUUCUAGAGCCUUCAUCCAGCAGGUGUGGAAGGAGCAGCUAGUGCCCUUCCCCUGCAAUGAGACUGAGCAAUACCUUAUAUGCCAUCCUAGAGCCUUCAUCCAGUAGCUGCUGGAUGCAGUUGCGAAUGACUUUCCCCUAUAAUGAUAUUUAUGAUUACCUUAUAUUCCAUCGUAGAGCCUUCAUCCAGUAGCUGCUGGAAGCAGAAGCGAAUGCCCUUCCCCUAUGAUCACUACCUUAUAUGCCAUCGGAGAGCCUUCAUCCAGUGGCUGCUAGAAGAAGAAGCAAAUGCCCUUCCCCUAUAAUGAGAUUGAUGAGUUAUUAUAGAUGAUUACAAAGUGGAGUCAGAAAUAGAUUGAUAACCAGUAGUUUAUUUGGGAAAAAUAUUCAUGCCAGGGAGCUAAUCACCAGGUUUGCACCUGAGCAGACAGGUCCCAGAAAUGCUUCGCAGUCAACUGAGGUAGGUGAACGAUAGCCCAGUGCAUGCCUCCUUCCUUCUUAAAGCCUUGUUAGGUAAGUCUGACCACGCCCAAUUGGUCAGUACCUGUGACCUUGCUUUAGUGGACUUAGUCAGUGGUACCUCUAAUCAGGGUUUCUCCCUGCAAUUCCUUUUUUAGUCUAAAGAGGAUUUAAACAGUGUAAGUUAUCAAUAAUUAACAAUCAUAAAGGUGAAUUACAAGAGGCUAUAAUUACAUAUAUCACAUGCUAACUCUUUAUGCCAUCUAUACCCUAAGGUCAUCUGAAAGAGAUGUCCAAGUCUGAACAUCUCCUUCCAAAUCCAACCCUAAACAAUAGGAAACCACCCUAGAGCCUUCUUUGAGUAGCUGCUGGAAGAAGUGAGUGAGCUUUCUCCAUAAUGAGGUUGAUGGCUACCUUAUAUGCCAUCCUAGAGCCUUCAUCCAGUGGCUGUUGGAAGCAGAAGUGAAAGCCCUUCCUAAUAAUGAGAUUAUUGACUACCUUUUAGGCCAUCCAGGAGCCUUCAUCCAGUAGCUGCUAGAGCAAAAGUGAAUGCCCUUUCCCUAUAGUUGAAUUGAUGGCUUCUUUAUAUGCCAUCCCCGAGCCUUCAUCCCAUAGCUGCUAGAAACAAAAGGGAAUGCCAUUUCCCUAUAAUAGAAUGAUGGCUACCUGAUAUGCCAUCCUUGAGCCUUCACCCAGUAGCUGCUGGAGGGAGAAGCUAAUGCCCCUUCCCUGUAAGGAGAUUGAUGAUUUCCUUAUAUGCCAUCUUAGAGCCUUUAUCCUGUAGCUGCUGGCAGCAGACUCGAAUGCCCUUCCCCGAUAAUGAGACUGUUGACUACCUUUUAUGCCAUCCUAGAACCUUCAUCCAGUAGCUUCUAGAAGCAAAAGAGAAUGCCCUUUCCUUAUAAUAGAAUUGAUGGCUACCUUAUAUGCCACCCACCCUAGAGCCUUCAUCCAGUAGCUGCUGGAAGGAAAAGCGAAAGCCCUUCCCCUAUAAUGAGAUUGAUCACUACCUUAUAUACCUCCCACCCCCCAGUCUUCAUCCAGUAGCUGCUGGAAGCAGUUGCAAAUGCCUUCCCCUAUACUGAGAUUUAUGUUUACUGUAUAUUCCAUGCUAGAAUCUUCAUUUUGUUGCUGCUGGAAGCAGAAGCUAAUGCCCGUCCCCUAUAAUGAGAUUGACACUACCCUAUAUACCACCCUAGAUGCUCCUUCCAGUAGCUGCUGGAAGAAGAGAAUUCCCUUCCCCUAUAGUGACAUUGAUGAUUUCCUUAUAUGCCAUCCUAGAGCCUUCAUCCAGUAGCUGCGGGUUGCAGAAGCAAAUGCCUUUCCCCUGUAAUGAGAGUUAUGACUACCCUACAUGCCUUCCUAGAGCCCUCGUCCAGUAGCUGCUAGAAGCCAAAGGGAAUGCCCUUUCCCUAUAAUGAGAGUUAUGACUACCUUAUAUGCUACCCUAGAGCCUUUAUCUAGUAGCUUAUGGAAGCAGAAAGAGGGACCCACAGCUAAGCACUGAGCCUCACUCCUGGAAUUUAGUUGUCGAGAGGGAGGAGGGAUGCGCAUAGGGGUCUAGGCCAGCCAAGCGUCUGUGGCGCCCCCACGUGUCACAAGGGAGCUGCCUGGGCUGUAGUUUUUGCAUCGAUAAAUCAGGAGCAGGAGACAAGAAGAGAGAGGCACUUGUGUUUUGGGUUUCUGUGGCUGCUCUUUUAAUUGCCUCAGAUUUAGAGGAUGCAGGCAGCUGUGCGUUGUGGUUGUGGGGUUUCAGUGUCCUAGGGUGGCUUCAAGCUGCACAGAGCUCUCCCUUAUAGAGUCUGUGCUGCAAUGCAGAUGGAGCUGUCGCAGCAAGUGGCUGAGGGUCGGAGCUGUCCAGUGUAUGCUUCUUAGAGUAAGGAAUGAAAGAUGAGACAGAAAGCUUGCAGGCAGGGCAUGGUGGCCAGGCACCUAGGGAAUCCAAGGGACAAGUGAAGAUGGGACCAGAGCCUGUGACUAUUGCAGGAGGGCCAGAAAAGUGUGGGCUCUGGGGACGGUAGAAAGGGGGUGUGAACCAGGCUGUUUGGGGGUCUCAAGGUGAAUCAGUUUACUGUCCUAUGGGUGAGAGCAAAGUGAGUGGGGCUGAGAGCUGUUGUGGGAGCUUGGCAAACAGUUUUAGGGGGGAGGCAUCAAUUCUUAUCUUUCCAAAGAGGCUUAAUUAAAAAUAAAACAAAAUAGAAAAUGAGGCAGUGUGGCUGAGCAGGUUACUCACUAUGUGUGACAGGUGACAGCGCUGUUCUCUUAACUAGUCUGGCACAGCAUCCCAGCAGGAGGGUACACAGGCUGCUGCGUCUGCCUUAGGGAGAGAUACUGUGUGAUUUUUAGAGCCAGGGGAGGGUCUGGGGGCGCCAGAAGGCCAGUAGGGAGCUAGGUGGUGUGCAUCUGGUGGGUGUCUGGCUCUGCAGUCCCCCUCCACACUCACACACUCUCUCCAGUCCACCCAAUUUGUAUAGCAAGUGUUCUUUCAGUCCCCACGUCACUCACAUUUUUUUCAAGCAGCUGCAUAGCACUCUGCUAAAUUCACCUUAGACCCAAAGCCCCCUCUGAGCUUUUAAACGUCUCCCUAGAGCCCCUCCUCAUCUUCCAUGUUUCAUUUUUCCUUGUUGAUUAAAAAGAAAGCCAGCAUUUAUUACGGAGGUUCCCCCCCCCCCAGACAACACACGCAGAGAAGCCAGUGUGCUCUUAAACACCACAGCUUUAAAUUUUAUUUCAUCACCUAGAUGCAUUGCCCACCAAAUCCAUCCAUCCCUCUGCUUCACCCGAGGUCUGGACCCUCCCUCAAUUCUCACUGCCCCCAGCCCCACUUUUGGACUGUUUUGAAGCUAAUUCUAGAGAUCAUAUCAUCUCUUCUAUGCCUCUUAGGAUGUUUAUCUCAGAAAAAGGGCUGUCUCCCUUCAUAAAAACAUAAAGAUGACUUCCAUGGUCACAGUUUUUUUUAUAAACAUACGUGUGUCACCAUGAUGACAGUUUAAAAAUUAACAGCUUUUCCUUUCUGCAAUCUAACCUCUGUGCUGUUUCCAAAUCUUCCUGACGGACUCACACAUUUUAUUUUUUAUGAUUGGUCAUUCAGCUCUCUGUCUCAAGUCCCCCUGCAGUUUCAAGGGGCCUGUGGGGUGUGCAAAGGUAAGUACAGCUUAAAAUCCACACAUUUAAACAAACACCACCUUAGAAGUCUCAGUUCUCUCCCUGAGAAUUCAGCCAGUGCUGCAUGCCUCCCAGGGCCACCAGGCAAGUUGCAAACAGGUACAUACAUAUCCCCCAGCCCCUAUCAAACAAAACAUAGACGCAGCAGCCAACAGCUGUUACUUGAAUUAUCCGUUUUUCCCGGAAACCUCUAAAAGAGUUGGAGUGGAUAGACAAGACAGGGCUGGCCAUCGUCCACAAAACAAAAGGCGCCUGGCAGGCCAGGGCCCCCGAGUGAUUUAGACAGCAUGCUCCACAGCUCAACAAGGCAGCCUGCAGCCCAGGGGGCUCAGUUCAGGGACCCCCACCAGGUCCUGGUCCACUAGAUGGCACUCUCUGCUAUCUGUCCAGGACAGAUCCCCCUCCCCAAGGUGCUCAGGCCACAGCCGCAGCCGCAACACCCAGGCAAUUCUAAAACAUCAUCUCCACAUGUCGUGCAAAACGCAGGGGCUUUUCUCCCUGCAUCCACCCCAGCCCAGCAGCAGAAACACAGAGAGCGAACAUUUCAUAACAAUUUGCUGAGAGCAAACACUAGACAGCCCACUCCCCUUUUAAAUCUCCGUCCCAGCUACAUCUGAUUGCUCAUUCUUUUUUACAGAUGAGAGGCUGCUGAGGGGUCAGGUAUUUGCCCAAGAUCGGCUAGUAAGCAGGACCCGGGGCUCCAACCCAGGGUCGAUCAUUCUCAGAAGGCUUUGCCCUGUUCUCAGCAUCCAGACCUAUUGCCUGGGACAGAAUGGGAGGGAGGAUGUCUGGUGCCUCGUCGUCUCCACCCCCCGAGGAAUGUCCCUGUGUGCACGGCAGGCUGCAUGGUGCUCGCUCGAAUGGAUGCCCUAAUGUGCAUGGAGACCAGCCUGCUGGUUGAGACCUUGGCAGUGACCACUGUGGGUGAUGAGCCAUGGGCCAAUAACUCCAUGUGAGCCUCUCUCUAAUAUUGAAGAUUUAUAUAUCUUAACGGGCAAGAACCAAAAAGAUUCAAUGACAUGCACCGGCUGGUGCUUGUCCGAGGCUCUGUGGGCCAGGAGAAAAGGAACUCAGUUUGUGCUAACUUCACCAAGUGGAUGUGCCGCCUCCAAGUGAAUCAUCCUGGGACGCCAAAGGUCUGUUUUUUUACCUCUGUGGGUAAGAAAAGAAGAGAUUGAAGAGAUUUAUGUGAGUAAUAGCUUGAAUUUUAUGGUCUUGGGUUCGGAGGUUGGCUUAUGGGUGUUGCUUACAUUUUUCUAAAGUAAUAAAUGGAUAUAAUUCAUAAGUAAAGUCAACAAAGGCUAGUGGUAAGCCUUGACAGGAAUGUGGUCAGACUGGGGUUGAUAAUUAAUAUGAUUUACAAUCCAAUAAAAGAAGACGAGUGGCAUUUCAUUAAUUUUCAGGGUUGCUCAAUAUUCUAUUUCUUUUUUGCUGCGAUUCACUUAUGUACUUUUUCACUGGUAGCUCUUAGGCUAUUAAUUUCUUGAAGAGAAUGGUACAGAACAAUGAACAAAAUUAUCUGUUCAUUCUUGUUGUGUAGUAAGAUCAUGGUUAUUGUUCAUGGAACCAUCUUUAAGGCCAAAAGUGGGCCAUGGUGAAUAUGGAGAUGGGUCCAUCUAAGACCCCUGAAAAAUUGUACACAUAGUGGGGGAAAGAGAACAGAUCUAUUAAUUCUGUGUGGAAUGGACACUUGACACAACGAUGUCCUAUUCAAUCAUGCUGCUCUUGGGCUUUUGAUUUGUGAAUUUCUAUAUUAGCACAUCAGUGAAUAAACCAGUGGCCAAAGGGAGAAAAUAUAUACACAGGUAUACAGAGCCGUGAGUUUUCUGAGAAGUGUGAAUCAAAGAGUUUUGACUAAACAGCCUCUCAGAAAAAUGUCAGUAAGGAAAAUCACCCCCCUUUUCUCCUGUGACAUGUGCUUCUGACACUAGAUGGCCCCAGUCAAUGACCUUAGCCUUCUAUGAGUUGUAUUCUAAGGUGGUGGCUGCAAGAACGAAUAAAGCUGGCCAACUUUUCAAAGAAAGAAAAAGAAACAAGUAUUGUUAUUCAUUGUUGUUGCUGUCUGGCACAGAGCUUCAUGAUACACAUUGGUCUUAAGUCUGUUUGACCAUUUCCCUGAAGGACAUGUCCUGUGUCAUCAACCAUGGUGUAGCUGUUUGGAUUGUAUUGGGGAGCUGGCCACUGGCUUUAUUUAGAUAAGAAUAAAUUAUUUGUAUGAAGAUGAUUGUUUGAAUAAUUGUCUAAUUGAAAGCAGGCUAAGCAUGAAAGACUUCUGUGCUCAUGGUAGGCAGCUUUACUGAUUUAAUUCUGUUUGCUAAAGUCUAUGCCCUCAAAAAGGACCUUGUCCAUUGUAUUACUGCAUCCUUGCAUGCUGUGAUCACCAUGCCUAUUGAUACAGCUAAAAUUCUGGUCCAACUUUUAUUAGUUUUAAUGUGCCCUUAAAUUUGAACUCAAAUUUCAGUUGAUUACUUAAAGAUUAUAGACCCUGAGGCAGUUAGGAGCAAGUUUUGUUAUUUUGGUGGAUGUGCUCAUGCCACUGUGCAUGUGUGGAGGUCUGAGGACAGCUAUUGGGAGUUGGUUAUCUCCUUUUCGUGGUGGCAUGUGGUAAUAGAAUUCAGGCCUUGUGGCUUUCUCAGCAAGUGCUUUUAUCCACUGAGUAGCCCAAAGAUCUGAUUAAUUUUGUCUCAUUAAUGAUUAAUAAAAGCCCUCCAUCUUUCACUGACCUAAGUUGUGUUGAAUUGUAUUAACUGCAAAUUUUAGUUUAUUUUUGUUGCUGGUCCCACAGUAAUCCUCUUAUUUUAUUCAUAUAUUAGUCAUUGAUGCCUUUGACAUAAGUUAGCAAUAAACCACCUACGCUAAGGAUAUGGAAUUUAGAAGUACCAAAGUCCCUAAGCCCCUUCACCACGCAGGUGGACAUCAACAUCUCCAUCUUUACUGAGCAAUUACAUCAGCUGUGGCAUUCUAACUCUGUGAAGUACAACACACUCCAUAAAGAAUGGAAGCUGUUUUUGCUCUGUGAAGUACAACGCACACUUUGCGAAGAAUGGAAGCCACAGGCUUAAAUCUUAAUAGGCUGACUCAUGAGGGAUUUUGUGACUAACCCAAACUUGGUUGCUAUUACAUUCCCAUUAUUGACUCCAAAAUAACUCUACUUCUUACGUACUGACUUAUGUACGCUUUAAUUUUUAAUAUAACAGAAACUAAAAUUCACCACCCAGCAGAAGAGAAAUAAAUGGAACCAUUAAGACUGUCUGUGUACUGCUACCCACGGACACCUUAACCUCAUUUAUCUUUUUCAAGGGACCUCAUUGUGCAUUGCAGAGGGUCUACCCUGAAACAGUGAUCCAAGCAGCCCCCUACUUCACACAUUAACUGACUGGCUUGCUAUCUUUAUUCUGUGGGUAUAAAUACUUAUCUAUGAAUAAAAUAAAAGAAAGAUUAUAGGACCAGCAGAGGGGAUUGGCCAGAGUUUAUGGUUAUUAUGAUCCAGCAUAGCCUAAGUCUGUUAAUCAUGGAGGGCUUUUAUUUCUUCUCAGAAUUUUUCAGUAUUAAGAUUUGUUUGGUGUCAUUGGCAAUUUACACAUUUCAUCAAUGGUAAAUGUCUGGGCCAAGAAUUCACUGAGGUGGGAACAUGGAGAAUGAGUGGAGAAGUCAGUGCUAAUGUCUUCACCAUGACUGGAGCAUGGUUUGUGGCUGGACAGGAUUAGCUCCCCUAAUCUGCAAAAUCAGACUGUGUUCUUAAGCCCAAAACUUUCUGAGCAUUGACUUGGUACAUGUGGAAGAUUCCACACUUGUCCUCAUGAUGGUUACAGUCAAAAUGCCGGGGCACUGAAAUAUAGUAAAAAAUUCCUGCUGGUCCCAGGUUUAAGGCGACGGGGGGGGGGGACAAAUGAAUUUUAUUUCUUUUUGGGUAAUAUUGUUAAGACAUUUCAUUGUGAUUGUGAAAAUAUAUCAAAAGUUGAAAAAAAAUCCCAGAUUUAAAACACUUGAGAAGCCAACCAUGUCUGAAACAGGGUGCUCAAUUGUGGUUGUUGAGAUCUCUAACUGUGCAAUAAGUUACCCAGUGACUUCAUGGCUCAAAGCAUGGAGCACCUUAGUUUCCAUGGUUUCCAUGAGGCCAGAGUUCAGGGGUUUGUGUUCAGAGUCCUGUCAAUUUACAGAGACAUGUUAGGCACAAUAGUGGCUUGACUGAGUGCAGGUGUGUUUUUGUGCGUGCAGGUGUGUUUGUGUGUGUGUGUGUGUGUGUGUGUGUGUGUGUGUGUGUGUGUGAUCAUUUUGCAAGGCUCAUGUCCAUGGCUGGCUGCUAAUGGGGACCAAUCUUUUUCUCCAUGUGAAAAUUUGCUCAGUGAGAGUCCUUAGAACAUGCCAUCUAAUUUCCCUAAAGCAAUCAUUACGGGAAGAGUCUGGUAGAUCUUAGUGUAUCAUAGGACCUAUUUCCCUAAGGCCCAAACCACCACUUCCAUAGUGUUCUACUGGCCACAUAGACAACCAUGAGCCAACAUGUGAACACAUAAUACAAGGCUGUGUGCCAUAGGCGUGGAGUCCACUGGCCGUCAUCUUGGAGGUUGUCUACCACAUUGACCGUCCUUAAAAUUCAGACAAAUUUAAUUAAAGAAGAGCAAGGAAAGUUCACAAGUGGGAUUGACAUGAAGUGAGGAGCUGAGUGAUCAGAUGUCCUUACAACUGCCAUCAGAGUGUCUCAGUCCCCUAGAACAUAAGCUGUCAGGCGUGUCUCAGUCAAACGUCAGGAGUUGAUCGUCAGGUUCACAUUUCAUGUUUAUUGACUUUAUUGGCAGUAAUGACUCAACGAGUGAGCUGACUAACAAAGGUAGGACUAACUAAACCAAAGACAACCAUGCCCCAACCAAUGAUGGGAAUUCUUGGGUGUCUGAAUCAAUGAUUUUUAUUAAGCCUGUAACUCUGAGGUCCAUCAUAAGAGACUUCAUCAGAGGCCAAUGAAAUGACUUAGUGGGUUAAUGCGCUUGCUGCCAAGCCUGAGCACCUGAGUUCAAUCCCCCAGACCCACAUGGUGGAAGGAGAGAACCGUUCCCGAGGAUGUCUUCUGAUCUCCUCAUGUGUGCUAUGGCAUGUGCAUGCACACACAGACAAAGACACACACACACACACACACACACACACACACACACACACACACUGCAAAGAUACACAAAGACACAUAGACACAUACCUGGAGACAAAGGCACACAAACUUAGACACACAAAGGCAAAGACACACACACAUACACAAACACACACACACAGACAAAUAUACACACAGAUAGACAAAGACAAGCACACACAAAGACAUACAUAUAUACAUAGAGACAAAGACACACACAGAGAGAAUGACAAAGACACACAGAAAGACAGAGGACAUACACAUACAGACAGACAAAAACAUACAAUAUACACAGACAAAGACACACACACACUCACAGAGACAAAGACACACAGCACACACACAGACAAAGACACAUACAGAAAAAAACACACUCACAAAUACAGACACAGACAUACAACACAUAUACACAGAGGUAGACAAAGACAUACAAUACACACACACAGAGGGACAAAGACACACACACAGACAAAGACCCACAUACACAGAGACAAAGACACACACACACACACACACACACACACACUGACAAAGAUACACAAAGACACACAGACACAUACCUGGAGACAAAGACACACACACUGAGACACACAAAGGCAAAGACACAUACACAAACACACACACACACAGACAAAUAUACACACAGAUAGACAAAGAAAAGCACACACAAACACACACAUAUAUACACAGAGACAAAGAUACACACAGAGAGAAUGACAAAGACACACAGAGAGACAGAGAAGGGCAUACACAUGCAUACAGACAAAAAUACACAACACACAAGGACAAAGACACACACACACACUCACAGAGACAGAUAAAGACACCAGCACACACACAAAGACACAUACAGAAAAAAAACACACACUCACAAAUACAGACAAAGACAUACAACACACAUGCACAGAGGCAGACAAAGACACUCAACACACACACAGAAAAAGACACACACACACAGACAAAGACCCACAUACAUAGAGACAAAGUCAAACACACGCAGAGAUAAAGACACACACACACCGACAAAUAUACAUAUUUGUGUGUAUACACACACACACACACACACACUAUAUAUAUAUAUAUAUAUAUAUAUAUAUAUAUAUAUAUACAGAGACAAAGACACACAGAGAGACAGAGAAGGACAUACACAUACAGAAAGACAAAAACACACAAUACACACAAAGGCACACACGCACACACAGACAAAGACACACAGCGCACACACAGACAAAGACACAUACAGAAAAAAACACCCACUCACAAAUACAGACAAAGACAACACACAUACACAUAGGCAGACAAAGACACACAAUACACACACACACACACACAGAGACAAAGACACACACACAGACAAAGACCCACAUACACAGAGACAAAGUCAAACACACACAGAGACAAAGACACACACACACAAAGACAAAGAACUAAGACACACAUAGACAAAGAUACACACAGACAAUUACACAUACACACAUAAAGAUGCACAAAGACAAAAUACACACAAAGACAAACAUGCAGACAAAGACACAUACACACAUACACAGAGACAGAUAAAUGACAUACACAGAGAAAAAGACAACCGACCAUGGACAAAGUCACAGGGCAACGACAUACACACAGAAAUAGACAAAGACAAACACACACACACACACACACACACACACACACAAACUCAAACACACACAAAGACACAGACACACAGACAAAGACAAACACACACAGACAAACACAUACACACAUACACAGAGACAAAGACACACACAAACACACACACAAAGACAUACUCACACAUAUACAGAGACAAAGACACACCCAUCCAAAGACACAUAUACACAUACACAAAGACACAUACACACAUAUACAGAGACAAAGACACACAUACUGAGAUAAAGACAAACACACACAAAGACAUACACACACAAUCAUAAAGACACAAACACAUACAGACAAGGGCACACACACACAAAGAUAGACACACAGAGACAAAGACACACAUACACAGAGAUAAAGACAAACACAGACAUACUAGAAAGACAAACACACAAAGACACACAUACAGAGAUCGACAAAGAAACACAGAGAGACAGACAAAGACAUACACAUAUAGACAGACAAAAACACACAACACACGCACAAAGACACAGUACACACACCCAGAGACAGACAAAGACACACAGCACACAGACACAGACACACAAUACACAGACAAAGACACACACAGGACAAAGACACAGACACAGACAUACACAAAGACAAGACAAACACACACAGACAAAGAAACACAACACACACAAAGAUACACACAAAGGCACACACAGACAAAUAUACGCACACUGAUGAAGACACACACACAUCAAGGACCCACACAACAAAGACACAAUACACACAAAGACACGAACACACAAAGAUACACAUAAAGACAUGACAAAGCCACACACACACACACACACACACACACACACACACACACACACACACCAAACAAAUAUGUAGAAAGAAUAGACACUUGUUUAGGGAAUUAUUAGAAAUUAGGAACAUUUCAAAUUUUGUUUCUUAACUAUUUAGUUUCAUAAGUCUCUGGUAUUUCACUGUAAGUAAAUUAAUACGGCGAGGCAAAUAUUUAAAUACAUAAAUAUUUAAAUGACAAAGGAGAAAAGGCAGCUAUUUGUGGCCUCCUUAUGAAAUUGGAGAAUUUAUGCACUAUUGUGAAUACAUUUGAAGCAAUCAAUUCCAACAUAAAUUUAUUAAAUCUGAUUGAUAGUCCUUCACCCAGCCCUGAGAAACUGAUGGCAUUGUUCUUCAUCAUUAAGGACAUAGUGGCUGGUGAAUUGAUGCUUGUUUAUUGGACUGUAGUUAAAAUACCAGAAAGUUCACUAAAUAGGAACCAGCACUGCUCUAAUGAGCACAGAUUUGCUAAGGUUCAGGAAGGCUAACCAUCCCUGUGACAUUGAUGUUCACCGUGGGAAGAGGGAGCCAAGGGUUUUCUGUUAAUAACGUCCUGCUUGUUAUUGUUGGGACUUACUGUAGGUUGAUCUUUGUUGUUCUUUGUGAGUGAGUAAAUGAUGGUUUAGAUGAAUGAAGAAAGCAUUCAAACCUAGGCCAGUGAUCUUGGAGAAUGUCAGUAAAAAUUUUAUUAAACUCCAGAAUGUCAAGGACCACUGGGAAGAUAAAAUGACUACUGUGAGUGGAGGAAGAGUCAGUUUUUUUUUUUUAUUAUGAUCCUGUCAUUCAAGCUGGGUGGUAGUGGCUCACACCUUUCAGGGCUACACAGUCAUUUGUAUGCAGAUGUUUUUGUCCUAUGUUGGUAACUGGUCUUGGAUAGUACCUUUAGAGAAGUGACACCCAUUCAUUGGCAUAAAAUAAUAAUUAAAUGUCCACAUAAUUGCCAGAUGAAUACAGACCCAUGAUAAGAAUAUUAACCCAGCUGGGCGGUGGUGGCGCUCGCCUGUAAUCCCAGCACUUGGGAGGCUGAGGCAGGUGGAUCUCUGUAAGUUCAAGGCCAGCCUGGUCUCCAGAGCGAGUGCCAGGACAGCUAAGGCACAGAGAAACCCUGUCUCGAACCCCCUUCCCCCCCCAAAACAAAUGUUAAUUCAAAACCCUAACUUUUAUUGAUUUUCUUAAUAAAAAUGGAAAAGAACUCAGCCUGCCAUUAUUGAGGGCACUGGCUAUAGAGUCAGAAGAAAAUAUUUUUUAUAGCCCGGGGCUGUUACAUUGUAGAUUCCCAUAUUCUCAAAAUGAAGGAAUUAUUUUAGUCCUGAAUUUAUAUUUUUAAAAGUCAGCAGCACCGGGCUCAUCAGGAACUCAUGUCAUCAUAUGACAGCUCUGACACGUGCUUUCUUUCCCCCCACCGUGUCAAAGAUUUUAUCAUGUUCUAAUCAUGUUGACCACCUCUGUGCCUCCAAACUAAGGAGCAUGAAGCCCUAGGUAAGCAACCAUCCAUGUUGAUGUACUGGAAUUGUGUGGGCUUCCUUUACAGGAGCCAGCUACACAAAUAAGUAAAUUUUUAAAUAAGACCUGAAAUUAAAGAGUGCCAACCAUGGGCCUGCAAUUGGGAUAUCUGAUUAACAACCAAAAAAAUUAUGCCUAAUUCAACUAAACUCACUAAGGACCAUUCUUCCAGAGAUGGUGGACAUUCCACAGAUUUAACUGCCCUGUAAGGCAUCAACCAUGGUUGUUUCUUAGAGCCCUUCACUAGCAGACAGCUUACUGUGAGUUCCUCACAGCAGAAGUACAGUGAAGGACAGCAGAUGUCAAUUCUGUCAGGUGUGUUUCAUGUUACCAAGCCUAUUAUGUGGGUUUCCAGCAGCUUUCAGGGACAGACAGACACCCAUAAUGAGACAGGACUUGACAAGAAGCCAGCCUGCUAAUUAAUCCACAUGUGUCAACUAAAGGCUCUCAAAUAAACAAUACAGGCCAUUUGAUCUACAGAAAGGCUACUGAUAAGAGAUCCAUGAAUGACCACACCAACUCAAGAAAGUUGUUAUUGAAUACAGCCAUGCCUGUAUCUGUGAUACCUGUUGGUAGAGGUGUGUGAGGCAACACCUCUGGUAAAUCAUUGGUGUAACUCUGAGGUCCAUUACUCAGUGAUACACAAACAAUGUUUUGUUUAUUAAUUAUCUUUGAGCAGAAGUGGGAAACAUUCAAUCAAUUUGUUCCUGGGAUUUUGUGAUUCAAUGAUAUGAAGCAUGCUACUCCAAGAGAACGAAUAUCUAAGUAGGAAGUAGAUACAUAAAAAGACAUGAUAUGUCAGAAAGAAGAAAGACACACCUAUUUGUAAACAGGUAGUAUAAUAAGCCAAGGAUAGCUAAUGCUUUUGCUUGCUGAAAAGCAAGGCCACUUGUGAACUGGAAGCAAAACGGGAUGCAGGAUGUAACCCUGUUUCAUUCUGAGUAUAUUAGUAGCUGUAGUUAAGAGAGUUGCUUGGGUGUUUCCAAAAAUACACUCCUGAUUAAUAGAUGUUUCUAAUUACCUUAGAACUUACUCUCAGGUGAGAUAGCGAGUGGACUCACAUGCUUACCAUAUUUAAAAUCCCAAGUUCAAUAUUAAAUCUAAAGUUGAUUAUUAUGUAGAUCCACUUGACCCAUUAAAUUCUACAUUUGUUCUAAUUCUUCUUUUCCAUUCUGUGGUGAAUGUAGGACCCCUGAUUUAAUUAUUUAAUAUGGAAUCAUUGUCCUGAGUAAGGAGCAUAGAUGAGAGUAAAGGUGAGACCAUUAGUUCAUGGUCUCUGUUUGCAAUCUUUUGUUUAUAGACCCUAGCUGAUAGAACUCAGGACAAGUAAUAGUCACACCCCUAAAUCAGGUAACACUCCCCAAGUAUGGACCAAUUGAGGGAAUGCAGUCGUAUUCACAGGGCCUGUAGUGGUGCUCUGGGUGUUGUGGCUGAGCUCAGCCUCCCCAGGAGUAGUUCUUCAGGAUGGACCAACACGUGAGCCCAUGAGUGUUUCGGAGGUGGAAGAAAGUAGCUUCUCAUUAUGUUUCCUGGAGCCACCUUUGACAUUUGGCUGAAUUAAAUAAAAGAGGACCACACAAAAACCAGAUAUGAAUUCAAUUCAAACCAGAGAUGUUGAUCAACCCACAGUGCACCUUGGAGUAACUUGUGAAAGUAGUGUGAUCUAAAUGUCUCAAUGACAAAAGAGCCCCAAUCCAAAGAUCUUGUUCUGGGGACGCUGUUCUGUUAAUUAUCAGUCAGUUGGUUAGUAAGUGAAGCAAACACCCAGCAUGGGCCAAUGAUGAGGAGCAUGGGGUUUUUAAACCCUUAUGAAAUCUGAGGACUAUUGCAAAGUGGUGUCUGCAGCCUGUAGAGACGAGUCCCCAAAGCCCGAUCUUGGUGGAUUCAUGGCACAACCCACAUUGCUGUAAUAAAAUUAACCGUGAAUAAAGAAAAAAGAAUCAAUGAAUGAAAAAUAAGAAAGAUAAUGCUGGGCAAGAUAGCACAUGCCUGCAACCCUGACUUCUAGGGGUCUCCCAAAAAACAAAACAAACAAAACCAAAACAAAAUAAAUCAGCAAAAAAAAAAAAACAAAAAAAAAAAACAAAAAGACAGGGCAGAUGUGUUGGCUCUACACGUAAAGGCAUUUGUGACCACGCCUGAUGGUCUGAAUUCCAUCCCUGAAACACUCAUGGAGAAGGACAUAUUCCUACAUGUUGUCCUCUGACCCCUACACAACACAGAUGCUCCUUCAUACACACUUUAAGUGAAUAAAUACAUUAAUAUAAAACAAAAAUAUGAAGAGAAACUAAUGGCUGUAAACUUUAAAAUUUGAAAGCAUUUAAUGCAUUGUGGCUUGUUAUUUACAUUGAGAUGAUCAGUUUAGGUGACUAGCUUUCUUAGAGGUCAUGGGAUUUGAUUAUUGGAAAAGGAGGCAAAUUGAUGUGAGGUUGCCCGUGUCCAGGAAAAGAAGAGACAUUUCUGUAACUAGUGACUAGAGGCAGAACACUUACACAGAACCACGAUGAGACGUCACACAUACCACCAUUGAUAAAAUCUAGGCAUUUUUCUUGAAAUAAACACACACUAAGUCAUUUACAAUUGCAUCUUUUCACCAGUGUCAUAGGAAAAACAUAAAUUGAUUGAUCUGAUAUAGAUAGACACACAUAUUACAGUAUAAUUAAGAAGGGACAUAUUCCUAAAUUUGUAUCUCAACCAGUAUUUUUUUUUUUUUUUGUUAAUUCAACAAUUGUGUACCAGUGGAAAAUAUUCCACCAUUGGGAUCUUUACACUAUCCACUUCUGAAAUCCACAAGAAGACACUGUGUUACUGUUCCAGUGUUGGUUUGAGGGCUGUAAACUUUAAAAUUCUGUUAGAAUCAUUAUCCCAUGAGAAAUCAAACACAUCAGUUAGUGAGUGAAGUAAACAGGGGCUGGGGAGAUAGUUAAGUCAGUCAGGUGCGUGCCUUAGAAUCACGGGAACUGAUUUCUAUCCCCAUAGCUCAUGCAAAUUAAAAAAGGUUGCGUGUGAUGGGUUAUCCCAGUGUGUCCUGGUGACCCCAGUGUUGGGAGGCUGUGGUGGGUGUGAUGGUGUGUAUGUGUGACCCCAGUGCUGGGAGGCAGAGGCAGGUGGAUCUGUAGGGCUUGCUGGCUGACCAGUGAGAGAUCUGACCUCAUCAAACAAGAUGGUUAGCUUCUGAGGACCAGCACCCAAGGUGCCUUACACAGGCGUGCUUGUGAUCAUUACAGAGAUUAUACCAUAUGGUAAAUCUCUCAUCUUCAGUUUUGCACAACGUCCAACUGAAAGGACAACUUUGCUCUUACGUAUGUUGGUAACAAACACACCAGAUGGUCCUAAUAAUUAGAGUUAUUUUUCUAUUUUAAAAAACUGCUAGGUUCAGUGGUGUUCAUUACAUUAUUUAAGAUAAAAACUCACGCAGGCUCAUAAAUAUACAGUGCUGUUCUCGCUUCUAAGCCCCAUAAGGUAAUAAAUAUAAAGGACUUCUGCCUUCCCAAGUGUUCCGACCGGAACGCAAACCAACGUUUACGGCUAAUUGAUCACCCCCAACUGUGGUUCCUCCUCAGAAGCUAAAUGACAGUAAUUCAUUUGAAUAUUUGCCUUUUAUUCCUCAGAAUGAGCGCGGCUGGUGUGGCUUCAUGAUUACCUUCUGGGGAAGAUCUUGCCUGUUUACCUCUGCAUAAGGAAGGAAGACACAGAUGGUCAAAGGAUCACACAGGCAUGCAGAUGUCUCCAUCUAUACCAACAUUUGAAAGACAACUUCAGAGACAGAGUCAUCAUCUCCUUCCUCCUACCUAGGUUCACUUAGAAGAUUUUCCUCUCCCCUGAAAAGCAGGUGCUCACCACUCAGAAGCUUCUGUCUGUUUUAAAGACUGGGCCACGCUCAAACUCUACACUUACUUUGGGUGUUUACAGAAGACCCAAACCCGUGUGAGUACUAUUCAAAAUUGUUGUUUCCUUUCCUCAAAGCGAUGCUCUAUGUUACUACAGAGUAUCGAGUUUAUCUGAGCAAGGGACUUGCUUAUGCCAGAAGAGAAAAGAAAAUCAUAGGCACUUUUAUUGUUAAACAGCAAACAUGCACAUAUUGCUAGAGUAGAGACAGGUAGUUUGGACCAAUGAUGACUAGGCUGGCGGCUUUCUAAGUCAUGCAUUGACGAUGGCUACAUCACUUCCUGUCUGAGGUUCACAGCAUCACACACCUCACACCUCCCUCUUAGCCAGUUGACAAAUGUUAGACAUGUCGAACACAUGCUGGACAUUAGAAUCAGGCACUUUCAUGCAUGUCCUCAGGGAUUAACGAAACAUGAUAUAAAUAUAGAUAUAAAUGAAAAUACAUUUACUGAGGCAUUGAUCAAUUAGAAAUUAAAUAUUGGACCACUAAUGGCAUUGCUACAUGCAGAAACUUUGGAACUCACUGAAGAAAUAAUUGGCAUAAGAUGUGUAUAAACUUCAUCCAAGUUCACAUAUGAGAUAUAAUUAAUGGAUUAAGCCACAGUGCGAGUCAACAUCUCAAUUUUAAAUCUCUUUAGUUGAUUCUCUAAGAAACCAUCAUCACAAUUUAAUUUGCAAAUAACAAGUAGUGAAAGGAAAAUGCAGAAAUGAUUUGAAAACUUCAAUCUUUUAAUUAUCUUCUCUGCUCUGUUCUCUCUGUAUGGAUGCUGAGUGAUACACUGUUGCCUGGCUGGGAGGUCCAUGGUUGCCCUAUCCCCAUGUGUGAGGAUCCAGAGAACUGAUGUGAAGUUACCCUUUUAUCUGCAUCAUGAGCUCCACAGCUAGUCUACGGUUUCGGAGCUAGGGGGCCAUUGGUCAUCCCUCAGAAGCAAUGGCUUUAGUCUGCUUUAAACACUGGGCCACCCUCAAAGUCUACACUUAAUCUUGGUGUUUACAGAAGACCCAGAGCUGUGUGAGUAAUAUUCAAAAUUGUUGUCUUCUUUUCCUCAAUGGGAUGAUGCUCUAUAUUAUUAUAGAGUAUAGAUUGUCUCUGAGUAAAGGAUUCACUUAUCCUGAAAAACAAACAAAGUUAUAGUUGUUUGUUAAACAUCCAACAUGCACAUAUUGCUAGAGUAGAGACAGGUAGUAUGGACCAAUGAUGACCAGGCUGGCGGCUUUCUAAGUCAUGCAUUGACGAUGGCUACAUCACUUCCUGUCUGAGGUUCACAGCAUCACACACCUCACACCUCCCUCUUAGCCAGGUGACAAAAUUUAGACAUGUGGAGGACAUGCUAGACAUUAGAAUCAGGCACUUUCAUGCAUUAAUGUAACAUGACAUAAAUAUACAUAUAAAUGCAAAUACAUUCACUGAGGCAUUGAUCACUUAUAAAUUAAAUAUUGGACCACAAAUGCAUUGCAACAUGCAUAAAAUCUGGAAGUCAGUUAAGAAAAAAGUGGCAUAAAGAUGUUUAUAAACAUCAUGCAAGUUCACAUAUGAUAUAUAAUUAAUGGAUUAAGCCCUAGAUAGUGUCACCUCCUUCCUUGCUUCUUUAAGACACCAUCAACAAUUUGAAUCCUAGAUAACAGGUAGUGAAAGGGAAAGUAUAGAAAUGAUUUAAAAACAUCAAUCUUUUUAUUAUCUUCCCUGCUCUAUCCUUCCUGCAUGGAUGCUGAGUGAGACACUGUCGCCUGGCUGGGAGUUCUAUGGUUGCCCUAUUCCCAUGUGUGAGCAUCCAGAGAACUGAUCUGAGUUACCCUACCGUCUGUAUCAUGAGGUCCACGACUAGCCUAGGGUCUUGGGAGCACGGGGAGUCAUUGGUCAUCCCUCAGAAGCAAUGGCUUCAGUCUGCUUUAAACACUGGGCCACGCUCAAAGUCUACACUUAAUCUUGGUGUUUACAGAAGACCCAGAGCUGUGUGAGUAAUAUUCAAAAUUGUUGUCUUCUUUUCCUCAAUGGGAUGAUGCUCUAUAUUAUUAUAGAGCAUAGAUUGUCUCUGAGUAAAGGAUUCACUUAUCCUGAAAAACAAACAAAUUAUAGUUGUUUGUUAAACAGCAAACAUGCACAUAUUGCUAGAGUAGAGACAGGUAGUAUGGACCAAUGAUGACCAGGCUCGGCGGCGAUCUAAGUCAUGCAUUGACGAUGACUACAUCACUUCCUGUCUGAGGUUCACAGCAUCACACACCUCACACCUCCCUCUAAGCCAGGUGACAAAAGUUAGACAUGUGGAGCACAUGCUGGACAUUAGAAUCAGGCACUUUCAUGCAUGUCCUCAGUGCAUUAAUAUAACAUGAUAUAAAUAUACACAUAAAUGCAAAUACAUUUAGUGAGGCAUUGAUCACUUAGAAAAUAACUAUUAGACCACUAAUGGCAUUGCUUCAUGCAUAAAUUCUGGGGUCAGUUUAGCAAUAAUUGGCAUAAAUAUGUAUAUAAACAUUAGGCAAGUUCAUAUAUGAUAUAUAAUUAAUGGAUUAAGCCCCAGAUACGGUCACCUCCUUCCUUGCUUGUUUAAGACACCAUCAACAAUUUGAAUCCUAAAUAACAGUAGUGAAAGGGAAAUUGUGGAAAUGAUUUGAAACAUCAAUCUUUUUUUAUCUUCCUUGCUCUGUCUUCCCCGAAUGGAUGCUGAGUGACACACUGUUGCCUGGCUGGCAGGUCCAUGGUUGCCCUAUUCCCGUGUGAGAUCAUCCAGAAAACUGAUCUAACACUUUCAUCUGCAUCCUGAAGUCCACACAUAUCCUAGGGUUUGGGAGUUCGGGGGGCCAUUGCUCACCACUCAGAAGCUUCUGUCUGCUUUAAAGACUGGGCCACGCUCAAACUCUACACUUACUUUGGGUGUUUACAGAAGACCCAAACCUGUGUGAGUAACAUUCAAAAUUGUUGUUUCCUUUCCUCAAAGCGAUGCUCUAUGUUACUACAGAGUAUCGAGUUUAUCUGAGCAAGGGACUUGCUUAUGCCAGAAGAGAAAAGAAAAUCAUAGGCACUUUUAUUGUUAAACAGCAAACAUGCACAUAUUGCUAGAGUAGAGACAGGUAGUAUGGACCAAUGAUGACCAGGCUGGCGGCUUUCUAAGUCAUGCAUUGACGAUGGCUACAUCACUCCCUGUCUGAGGUUCACAGCAUCACACACCUCACACCUCCCUCUUAGCCAGGUGACAAAAGUUAGACAUGUGGAGCACAUGCUGGACAUUAGAAUCAGGCACUUUCAUGCAUGUCCUCAGUGGAUUAAUAUAACAUGAUAUAAAUAUACACAUAAAUGAAAAUACAUUUACUGAGGCAUUGAUCAGUUAGAAAUUAAAUAUUGGACCACUAAUGGCAUUGCUACAUGCAGAAACUUUGGAACUCACUGAAGAAAUAAUUGGCAUAAGAUGUGUAUAAACUUCAUCCAAGUUCACAUAUGAGAUAUAAUUAAUGGAUUAAGCCACAGUGAGAGUCAACAUCUCAAUUUUAAAUCUUUAGUUGAUUCUCUAAGAAACCAUCAUCACAAUUUAAUUUGUAAAUAACAAGUAGUGAAAGGAAAAUGCAGAAAUGAUUUGAAAAGGUCAAUCUUUUAAUUAUCUUCCCUGCUCUGUCCUCCCUGCAUGGAUGCUGAGUGACUCACUGUUGCCUGGCUGGGAGGUCCAUGGUUGCCCUAUCCCCAUGUGUGAGGAUCCAGAGAACUGAUGUGAAUUUACCCUUUCAUCUGCAUCCUGAAGUCCACGGUUAGCCUAGGGUUUGGGAGCUCGCGGGCCAUGUAAGUAUAGUUCAUGUUCUUGUGUCACUUUGCUGCUUUUCCUUAUUGUUCAAUGGAUUAUAAAUUACUCAAGAAUGACAAAUCCGGUUAAUAAUAAUGCGAAUAUCUUUGACACACUUUGUUAGUAUCUUUAAGCUGAAGUCAAUAUGACACACGAGUACCAAAUAGUUGCUCUAAAACAUAUAAAAAUCAUAUAAUUUGAUAGCUUAUUUUUAUCUGACCUUCUCUCUAUCAUUUUCUUUCUAUUAAUUUUCUAUCUCUCUAUCAUCUGUCAUCUGUGAAAUAUAAUCAGAAAUUAAUUCUGUCCUUUUCUGUGGAAUCACAGCCAUCAUUGCCCUAUCAUAAAUAUAGAAAAAGCUUAUUGUUAUCUCAGUUAAUUCGGACAAAGUGGAGGCCAGUGCAGACCUUAAUCAAGUCCCUUAUGAUUCUAUAUAAGGCAAAUAAACUGAACCAUUCAUGGUUGUUCCCUAGUGAUUAUAUUUAUUUAUUUAGACACACUGUAGCACUAUAUAGUGUCUGGGCUAACUCCUUGAAGUUAUAGGGAGAAAUAAUCCCAUAUGCAUGCAAAUAGCUCUAUGUAUAUUGAUGUUUGACAGACAUCUGGAGAGACUGAGUCACAUCUCCUUCCUUCAAUUCAGGUUCACCCAGAAUAUUUAGUUUUCCCCCAUGAACAGGGGAUGUAUAGCUAGACAGACACAUGGACUGGUCGUGUCCUCAUGGUUUUGUGGACAGUUUUAUGUUAUGUUCAGUUUUAGGGAAGUUAGAAAGUGACUCAGUGGCUUUUCAGUGAGCUUGCUUACAUAAUCCACUACACGGUUAAGCUCAAUCAAUAUUUGUUGAGUUUACCUGGCUAUAAACAUCUGAGUGUAGACUGAGUCUCCCUACCUAUCCACUCUUUUAAAAUUUCUGUUUUUUAUUAAAAACUGGUUUUUACUGCUCAGCAUAGACACACACCUGUGAUGCACAGACAAUCAAGGAAUGUGUUGUUAUCUCUCUUGAGUCCUAGAUCCUGAAAUCUGUGCUCAUAGCUGCUGCCUUAACAGUUCAUCUUGGGUCUUUGCUUUAGUACUUAACGGAAAUAGAGUUUGAUAUCCUUAUGGUUUUUCAAACUUAAUCAUAAAAAUUAUUCAGGCUGUUUGUGGUGCAUGUCUUUAUCCCAGCAUUCAGGAGUCAGAGACACCAGGAUCUCUGUGAGUUUGAGGUCAGUCUGAUCUACAAACCAUGUGCCAGGACACACUCCUAAGCUACACAGGGAAACCCUGUCAUGAAAACAAAACAAAGGAAAAAAAUUAAUAGAAAAAUUGCAACCUAAAAUGAACCAGACCCAAAGACUUACUUUUUAUUAAGUGAAAACAUAUAGCUAUUUCCACAGAUUCACAAAUUUGUACAGAAAAAGUUUUACAAAGGCUACAUAAGUUAAGUCAAUAAAUUUUCAUCAUCCGCAGUGGUCAUCCCUCAGAAGCAAUGGCUUCAGUCUGCUUUAAACACUGGGCCACCCUCAAACUCUACACUUAAUCUUGGUGUUUACAGAAGACCCAAAGCUGUGUGAGUAAUAUUGAAAAUUGUCUUCUUUUCCUCCAUGGGAUGAUGCUCUAUAUUAUUAUAGAGUAUAGAUUGUCUCUGAGUAAAGGAUUCACUUAUUCUGAAAAACAAACAAAGUUAUAGUUGUUUGUUAAACAACCAACAUGCACAUAUUGCUAGAGUAGAGACAGGUAGUAUGGACCAAUGAUGACCAGGCUGGCGGCUUUCUAAGUCAUGCAUUGACGAUGGCUACAUCACUUCCUGUCUGAGGUUCACAGCAUCACACACCUCACACCUCCCUCUUAGCCAGGUGACAAAAGUUAGACAUGUGAGCACAUGCUGGACAUUAGAAUCAGGCACUUUCAUGGAUGUCCUUAGUGCAUUAAUGUAACACGACAUAAAUAUACAUAUAAAUGCAAACACAUUUAUUUAGACAUUGAUCACCUAGAACUUAAAUAUUGGACCACAAAUGCAUUGCAACAUGCAUAAAAUAUGGUAGUCAGUUAAGAAAUAAGUGGCAUAAGAUGUUUAUAAAUGUCAUUCAAGUUCACAUAUGAUAUAUAAUUAAUGGACUAAGCCCCAGAUAGGGUCACCUCGUUCCUUGCUUCUUUAAGAAACCAUCAACAAUUUGAAUCCUAAAUAAUGGGUAGUGAAAGGGAAAUUAUAGAAAUGAUUUGAAAACAUCAAUCUUUUUAUUAUCUUCCCUGCUCUGUCCUCCCCGCAUGGAUGCUGAGUGACACACUGUUGCCUGGCUGGGUGUUCCUUGGUUGCCCUAUUCCCAUGUGUGAGCAUCCAGAGAAUUAAUCUGAGUUACCCUACCGUCUGUAUCAUGAGGUCCACGACUAGCCUAGGGUCUUGGGAGCAUAGGGGGGCAUUGGUCAUCCCUCAGAAGCAAUGGCUUCAGUCUGCUUUAAACACUGGGCCACCCUCAAACUCUACACUUAAUCUUGGUGUUUACAGAAGACCCAGAGCUGUGUGAGUAAUAUUCAAAAUUGUCUUCUUUUCCUCCAUGGGAUGAUGCUCUAUAUUAUUAUAGAGUAUACAUUGUCUCUGAGUAAAGGAUUCACUUAUCCUAAAAAACAAAAUAAAGUUAUAGUUGUUUGUUAAAUAGCAAACAUGCACAUAUUGCUAGAGUAGAGACAGGUAGUAUGGACCAAUGAUGACUAGGCUCGGCGGCGAUCUAAGUCAUGCAUUGACGAUGACUACAUCACUUCCUGUCUGAGGUUCACAGCAUCACACACCUCACACCUCCCUCUUAGCCAGGUGACAAAAGUUAGACAUGUGGAGGACAUGCUGGACAUUAGAAUCAGGCACUUUCAUGCAUGUCCUCAGGGAUUAACGAAACAUGAUAUAAAUUAUAAAUAUACCUAUAAAUGCCAAUACAUUUAGUGAGGCAUUGAUCCCUUAGAAUAUAACUAUUAGACCACUAAUGGCAUUGCUACAUGCAUAAAAUCUGGAAGUCAGUUAAGAAAUAACUGGCAUAAAGAUGUUUAUAAACAUCAUGCAAGUUCACAUAUGAUAUAUAAUUAAUAGAUUAAGCCCCAGAUAGGGUCACUUCAAUCCUUGAUUCUUUAAGACACCAUCAACAAUUUGAAUCCUAAAUAACAGGCAUUCACCUUUUGUAAAACAGGUGAAAGGGAAAGUGUAGAAAUGACUUGAAAACAUCAAUCUUUUUCUUAUCUUCCCUGCUCUGUCCUCCCCGCAUGGAUGCUGAGUGACACACUGUUGCCUGGCUGGGAGGUCCAUGGUUGCCCUAUUCCCGUGUGAGAGCAUCCAGAAAACUGAUGUAAGUGUAAUUAAUGUUCUUGUCCUGAUUUGGGCGACCUUGAUAAAACUCUUCUCUCUUGGUAAAGGCAUGCAUAGGUUCCUGUUAGGAAAACUGUGACUGUGAGCUCAAUUUAACAUGGCCAUGAUACAGUGCUGGGGGCUCCGAAAUUAAGAGAAGGGACAGAGAGUCAGGGCAGCACAUACUGUUGCAUUACCCACAUGUAGUGUGGGUUGUGACACAGAUGUCAGGUGUUGUAUAAUGAGUGUGUGUCAUAUUUAUGUUGAUGAGUUUUCAUUGUAUUAUAUAUAGGUAUAUACACAUAUACAUAUAUGUAUAUAUAUGAAUGAAAGAGUGUCCAGCAUUCUCCAUAAUAAUACUAAACGUUAAUAGUAACAGUAUUUAUGUAAUUCUCAGAAACCUUCUAGUAAUAAAUGUGCAGAGUUAGAAUACCUAAACUGAGGAUGCUCUGUGUUGUUUAAAGCAGUUUCUAAUGUUCUUGGUAGGAUUACAACUGGGUCUCCUGUGAUUUUUUUCUCAAGAAGAAUAUGUUAUACUUUUAUAUACUUAGAUGACUAAAAUAAAAUAGAUAAAAGAGUAAUGCCAUAACACAAAAGAAGAUUGUGUUUGAAUCCUUUCUUCUUUUCAUCUCUGAAGCUGAAGUUACCCUUCUGUCCGCACCACGAGGUCUAUGGUUAGCCUAGGGUCUUGGGAGCACGGGGGGCCAUGUAAGUAUAGUCCAUGUUCUUGUGUUAUUUGACCGCUACUCCUUAUUUUUAAUAAAUUACAAAUUUUUCAGUAAUGACCCAACUGGUAUUGACAGAUGAAAAAUAAUCUUGAUACACUUCAUGUCUUUAAGAUUAAAAUGAUCAGAUGACAUACUGAAUGAUCAAAGAAAGUACAUAGGAACAUAAUUGAUACCUUAACUUUAUAUAUCCAUAUCAGCCUAUGUCUGUCUAUCUAUCUAUCUAUCUGUCUGUCUGUCUGUCUGUCUGUCUGUCUGUCUGUCUGUCUGUCUAUCCAUUCACUUAUCCAUCAACUAUCUUUAAUCUCGCUAUAUCUAUCUAUAUAUUGUCAAAUGAUAUCAUCUGACAUUAAUAUCUUCAUUUUACUGUGGAAUCACAACUCUAUUGGCCGUGUCAUAAAUAUAGAAAAAGCAUAUUGUCAUCUCAGUUAAGGAAUCCAAGUGAAGCCUAUUGCUGGCCUAUUGUGAAACAGGUAGAUGGUUGAUCUUCUCUUAUAUGACUAUCUAGGAAGUACAAAUAAAUUUAGUCAUUUAUCAUUUCCUUGCCAUUUGCAUUCAUGUAUUUAGACAUACCUUAACAUACAGUUUUUACACUUUCCUUGAAGUUUUGGGGACAAAGUAUCCUAUAUACAGGCAGAUGGCUCCAUGUAUAUUUAUGUUUGACAGACUGUUUGGGAGACUGAUUUAGGAUCUAUUUUUUUCUACCUAGGUUCAUUCAGUGUAUUUAGAUGUCCCCUGAUAGGUAGGUGGUGUGUAGCUAGACAGGCACAUGGACCAGUCUUGGUUCUCAAUUAUUGUCUGAUGUUCAGUUGUGGGGAAGUUAAUAUGUGACUCAGUGGCUUUUCAGUGAGCUUGGUUACAACACUCCAGUACACGGUUAGGCCCAAUCAAUUUAUGUUAAGUUUCCCUGGCUAUAAACAUCUGCGUGUAGACUGAGUCUCCCUAUCUAUCCACUCAUUUAAUAUUACGGGUUUUUUAAAACUGCUUUUUACUCCUUAAUAGACACACAAACACCUGUGAUGCUCAGGCAAACCGAGGAAUGUGUUGUUAUCUCUCUUGAGUUUUAGAUCCCAAAAUCUGUGCUCAUAGCUGCUGCCUUCAAAGUUCAUCUUGGGUCUUUGCUUUAGUACUUAAAGGAAUAAAAGUUAGAUAUACUUAAGUUUUUCAAACUUAAUCAUAAAAAGUAUCCAGCGAUUUUUUGGUGCACAUCUUUAUCCCAGCAUUCAGGACCCAGAGACACCAGGAUCUCUGUGAGUUUGAGGUCAUUCUGAUCUACAAACUAUGUGCUAGCACACACUUGUAAGCUACACAGAGAAACGCAGUCAGGAAAACAAAACAAAGCAAAAAAUUUCCAUUAAAAUUUUGCAACCUAAAAUGAACCAGACACAAAGAUUUAAAUUUUAUUAAGUGAAAACAUAUAGCUAUUACCACAGAUUCACAAACAUGUACAGAAGAUGUUUUACAAAGCCUACAUAGGUUAAGUCAAUAAAUUUUCAUAUCCACAGUGCUCAUCCCUCAGAAGCAAUGGCUUCAGUCUGUUUUAAACACUGGGCCACGCUCAAAGUCUACACUUAAUCUUGGUGUUUACAGAAGACCCAGAGCUGUGUGAGUAAUAUUCAAAAUUUCUUCAUUUCCACAAUGGGAUGAUGCUCUAUAUUAUUAUAGAGUAUAGAUUGUCUCUGAGUAAAGGAUUCACUUAUCCUGAAAAACAAACAAAGUUAUAGUUGUUUGUUAAACAUCCAACAUUCACAUAUUGCUAGAGUAGAGACAGGUAGUAUGGACCAAUGAUGACCAGGCUCGGCGGCGAUCUAAGUCAUGCAUUGACGAUGACUACAUCACUUCCUGUCUGAGGUUCACAGCAUCACACACCUCAC